rnacentral:ncRNA from 3 species
GGAGCGAUUUGUCUGGUUAAU